rnacentral:rRNA from 1 species
GCGAACGCUGGCGGCAGGCCUAAUACAUGCAAGUCGAGCGGUCCCUUCGGGGGCAGCGGCGGACGGGUGAGUAACGCGUGGGAACGUGCCCUUUGGUACGGAACAACUGAGGGAAACUUCAGCUAAUACCGUAUGUGCCCUUCGGGGGAAAGAUUUAUCGCCAUUGGAGCGGCCCGCGUUAGAUUAGCUAGUUGGUAGGGUAAUGGCCUACCAAGGCGACGAUCUAUAGCUGGUCUGAGAGGAUGAUCAGCCACACUGGGACUGAGACACGGCCCAGACUCCUACGGGAGGCAGCAGUAGGGAAUCUUGCGCAAUGGGCGAAAGCCUGACGCAGCCAUGCCGCGUGAAUGAUGAAGGUCUUAGGAUUGUAAAAUUCUUUCACCGGGGACGAUAAUGACGGUACCCGGAGAAGAAGCCCCGGCUAACUUCGUGCCAGCAGCCGCCGUAAGAC